CCUGCGGCUUGGCGACUUCAGGAUACCGCUAUGUUGCCAUGAAUCAGGGUCAUCAGACUUAUUCUGCCUUCAUCCAGCAAAUGUUUGGUCUCCUGUGUAGCAGCAGUUUCAAUGUCUUCCCUAUUGACCUCAAGCAUCCACUAAGCUCACUGUUCCUGCCCAUCACCUAUCAAUCUCUUUCUACAUUUCAAAUUACAUGCUACCUGCAGAAUAAAGCCGAACUGUAUAACUAAUCCAUAUAAAAUUAAACCCACUGACAAGAAGGUGGCAAAGAAUGAAACAGAGAACAACAUGGAAGAACAAGCAUUACAGGAAUUAAACACGAAUUAAUUUCACUGCUUUUCUCCGUACCAAGUUUAUUUUUACCCAUCAUCUUUUUUCAAUCAUUUUUUACACAUCUUGUAGCUUGUAAAUUCUAGCAUUCUGUGCAAUGCUUUAUUUGGUAAUCUUUAUCUUGUUAUUACUUUAUGUAUUCCAUAGAAUAUAUUAAAUGGAGUAUGAAAACAUGAGUUAGAAUUAGUUGGUCGAGAAAGAGUGCAACAUUAACAAUAGAUAUGAUGAUAAGCAAUUCUAAUAAGGGAACAAAUGAAAACUGGUAUAUAU